rnacentral:tRNA from 4 species
UGGUCGGGAUAGCUCAGCUGG